AAAGAAAUGUUUUAAUAGUUAUUUACGAUACAAGUGCGAAAAAUAGGAAAUUCGAAACGAGUGGCGAUAAAUUAAAACACGACCGAAGGGAGUGUUUUAAAUCGACACGAGUUGCGAAUUACCUAUUCGCACAUGUAUCGUACAACAUUUUACAGUAAAUAUGGCCCUUUAAACUUUUGACAUCGCACGAAAAGAUGCUACUUCUA